GAUGAAGAACGCAGCGAAAUGCGAUAAGUAAUGCGAAUUGCAGAAUUCAGUGAGUCAUCGAAUCUUUGAACGCACAUUGCGCCCUGUGGUAUUCCGCAGGGCAUGCCUGUUCGAGCGUCAUUUCAACCCUCAAGUCCCCUGUGGACUUGGUGUUGGGGAUCGGCGAGGCUGGUUUUCCAGCACAGCCGUCCCUUAAAUUAAUUGGCGGUCUCGCCGUGGCCCUCCUCUGCGCAGUAGUAAAACACUCGCAACAGGAGCCCGGCGCGGUCCACUGCCGUAAAACCCCCCAACUUUUUAUAGUUGACCUCGAAUCAGGUAGGACUACCCGCUGAACUUAAGCAUAUCAAUAAGCGGAGGA
rnacentral:misc_RNA from 1 species